rnacentral:rRNA from 1 species
UCUUAGAGGGACUGUCGGCGAUUAGCCGACGGAAGUUUGAGGCGAUAACAGGUCUGUAAUGCCCUUAGAUGUCCUGGGCCGCACGCGCGCUACACUGAUGAAGUCAACGAGUUUAUAACCUUGACCGGAAGGUUUG